rnacentral:rRNA from 1 species
UACGUAGGGUGCGAGCGUUAAUCGGAAUUACUGGGCGUAAAGCGUGCGCAGGCGGUUUUGUAAGCCAGAUGUGAAAUCCCCGGGCUUAACCUGGGAAUGGCAUUUGGGACUGCAAGGCUCGAGUGCGGCAGAGGAGACUGGAAUUCCUGGUGUAGCAGUGAAAUGCGUAGAUAUCAGGAGGAACACCUGCGGUGUAGACGGCUUACUGGACCAUAACUGACGCUGAGGCACGAAAGCGUGGGUAGCAAACAGG